rnacentral:rRNA from 1 species
UGGUUUAAUUCGAAGCAACGCGCAGAACCUUACCAUCCCUUGACAUCCCUAUCGCGGUUUCCAGAGAUGGAUUCCUUCAGCUCGGCUGGAUAGGUGACAGGUGCUGCAUGGCUGUCGUCAGCUCGUGUCGUGAGAUGUUGGGUUAAGUCCCGCAACGAGCGCAACCCUCGCUCUUAGUUGCCAUCAGGUAAAGCUGGGCACUCUAAGAGAACUGCCGGUGAUAAGCCGGAGGAAGGUGGGGAUGACGUCAAGUCCUCAUGGCCCUUAUGGGAUGGGCUACACACGUGCUACAAUGGCGGUGACAGUGGGAAGCAAAGGUGCGAGCCUGAGCAAAUCUCCAAAAGCCGUCUCAGUUCGGAUUGUUCUCUGCAACUCGAGAGCAUGAAGUUGGAAUCGCUAGUAAUCGUGGAUCAGCAUGCCACGGUGAAUACGUUCCCGGGCCUU